GUCCCAGUAGCUCAGCUGGAUAGAGCAACGGACUUCUAAUCCGUAGGCCGGGGGUUCGAAUCCCUCCUGGGACG
rnacentral:tRNA from 1 species